UACGUAGGCAGCGAGCGUUGUUCGGAAUUACUGGGCGUAAAGAGUGUGUAGGCGGCGCUCUAAGUUCGGUGUGAAAUCUCUCGGCUUAACUGGGAGGGUGCGCCGGAAACUGGAGUGCUCGAACGUGGGAGAGGAAAGCGGAAUUCCUGGUGUAGCGGUGAAAUGCGUAGAUAUCGGGAGGAACACCUGUGGCGAAAGCGGCGCACUGGACCAUAACUGACGCUGAUGCGCGAAAGCUAGGGGAGCAAACAGG
rnacentral:rRNA from 1 species